rnacentral:rRNA from 1 species
UGGGGAAUAUUGCACAAUGGGGGAAACCCUGAUGCAGCGACGCCGCGUGAGCGAUGAAGGCUUUCGAGUCGUAAAGCUCUGUCCUAUGGGAAGAUAAUGACGGUACCAUAGAAGAAAGCCCCGGCUAAUUACGUGCCAGCAGCCGCGGUAAUACGUAAGGGGCGAGCGUUGUCCGGAAUUAUUGGGCGUAAAGAGUGCGUAGGCGGCAAAUUAAGUCAGAUGUGAAAACUAAGGGCUCAACCCCUAGAUUGCAUCUGAAACUGAUAUGCUUGAGUCAAGGAGAGGAAAGUGGAAUUCCUAGUGUAGCGGUGGAAUGCGUAGAUAUUAGGAGGAAUACCGGUGGCGAAGGCGACUCUCUGGUCUGUAACUGACGCUGAGGCUCGAAAGCGUGGGUAGCAAACAGG